ACCAGACUCCUACGGGAGGCAGCAGUGGGGGAUAUUGCACAAUGGGGGAAACCCUGAUGCAGCGACGCCGCGUGGGUGAAGAAGUAUUUCGGUAUGUAAAGCCCUAUCAGCAGGGAAGAAAGAAGACGGUACCUGACUAAGAAGCCCCGGCUAACUACGUGCCAGCAGCCGCGGUAAUACGUAGGGGGCGAGCGUUAUCCGGAUUCACUGGGUGUAAAGGGAGCGUAGACGGCCGUGCAAGCCAGGAGUGAAAGCCCGGGGCCCAACCCCGGGACUGCUCUUGGAACUGUGCGGCUGGAGUGCGGGAGGGGCAGGCGGAAUUCCUGGUGUAGCGGUGAAAUGCGUAGAUAUCAGGAGGAACACCGGCGGCGAAGGUGGCCUGCUGGACCGCGACUGACGUUGAGGCUCGAAAGCGUGGGGAGCGAACAGGAUUAGAUACCCCGGUA
rnacentral:rRNA from 1 species